AUGGCCGAUAAUGAUUUAAAGGAGAUACAUGUUGCCAAUAACACAAAUGAAGAGGCCGGGGAUGGUACCACCACUGCCACCGUUUUGGCACGUUCUAUUGCCAAGGAAGGCUUUGAAAAGAUUAGCAAAGGUGCUAAUCCAGUGGAAAUCAGGAGAGAAAUUGGCAGCAUCAUUUCUGAUGCAAUGAAAAAGGUUGGAAGAAAAGGUGUCAUCACAGUAAAGGAUGAAAAAACACUGAAUGAGGAAUUAGAAUUUAUUGAAGGCAUGAAGUUUGAUCGAGGCUGUAUUUCUCCAUACUUUAUUAAUGCAUCGAAAGGUCAGAAAUGUGAAUUCCAGGAUGCCUAUGUUCUAUUAAGUGAAAAGAAAAUUUCUAGUGUCCAGUCAACUGUACCUGCUCUUGAAAUUGCCAAUGCUUACUGUAAGCCCUUGGUCAUAAUUGCUGAAGAUGUUGAUGGAGAAGCUCUAAGCACACUCAUUUUGAAUAGGCUAAAAGUUGGUCUCCAAGUUGUAGCAGUCAGAGCUCCAGGUUUUGGUGAUAAUACAAAGAACCAGCUUAAAGACAUGGCUAUUGCUACUGGUGGUGCAGUGUUCAGAGAAGAAGAGUUGACCCUAAAUCUUGAGGACGUUCAGCCUCAUGACUUAGGAAAAAUUGGAGAGGUCAUUGUGACCAAAGAUGAUACCAUGCUCUUGAAAGGAAAAGGUGACAAGGCUCAAAUUGAAAAACGUAUUCAAGAAAUUGGUGGGCAGUUAGAGAUUACAACUGGUGAAUAUGAAAAGGAAAAACUGAAUGAAUGUCUGGCAAAACUUUCAGAUGGAGUAGCUGUGCUGAAGGCUGGUGGAACAAGUGAUGUUGAAGUAAAUGAAAAGAAAGUCAGAGUUACAGAUGCCCUUAAUGCCACAAGAGCUGCUGUUGAAGAAGGCAUUGUUCUCAGAGGGGGUUGUGCCCUGCUUCGGUGCAUUCCAGCCUUGGACUCAUUAACUCCAGCUAAUGAAGAUCAAAAAAUUGGCAUAGAAAUUAUUAAAAGAACACUCAGAAUUCCUGCAAUGACCAUCACUAAGAAUGCAGGUGUCGAAGGAUCUUUGAUAGUGGAGAAAACAAUGCAAAGUUCCACAGAAGUUGGUUAUGAUACUGUGAUUGGUGAUUUUGUGAGUAUGGUAGAAGAAGGAAUCAUUGAUCCCACAAAGGUUGUAAGAACUCUUUCCUGGAUGCUGCUGGGGGGCUUCUCUGUUAACUACAGCAGACGUUGUAGUCACAGAACUUCCUAAAGAAGAGAAGGACCCUGGAAUGGGUGCAAUGGGUGGCAUGGGAGGUGGUAUGGGAGGUGGCUUGUUCUAAUUCCUAGAAUAGUGCUUUACCAUUAAUGAACUGUGACAGGAAGCUCAAGGUGGUGUUCCUCACCAAUAACUUUGGAGAAGUCAGUUGAAGAAAGUGAAGAAAAGGCUGGCUGAUGUUUAAGAAA